rnacentral:lncRNA from 1 species
GUUUGUAGUUGGGGACCAGUAGCAGGCGGCAAAGGCGAAGGAGCUAAAAGCUUCUUAAUUCCUGGGAAGAAGUUCUCGGGAAGCUUCAGUGGGGGGCGCAAGGCGGCUCCCUGUGGCGCGUCUCCGGCCUUCGGGGCGGCGGUGGGGAGAGUCGCGUGGGGCCUAAGAGGGCCGAGGCUCAAGGCCCGCGCGCGUGUCUGUCCGGCAGGGUCGCCGCCUCCGUCUCAGGACCCUGCGGUCCCCGAAGGCCGGGCCCCCGUUCCCCGGACCCGGCGUGGGAGGUGCGCCAACCCCGGAGGACUGGGUGGCAGAUGCCUCCUUGCAGCGCCUUCAAGCCGGGAGCGGCCUCCCACCCUGAGGUUGCAGAUGAGCGUGGGGUCGCCAGUGUGAUCAGAUCAGCAGCAGCCGAGUGUUCGAGGGAUGAGCCAUUGGCCUGCCUUGAGGUUGUGCGCUGAGGUGCUGAAGAAUGGUGAUGUGCAGCGUGCAGUUUUAAAGCCGGUGGCCGCGGCUCAGCCCAAGGAGCGGCUGUUUUCCCAGAGAACGGUCAGCCACGCUACAGCAGGGGAAGAACUUGUUUCGAGGACCAGUGGUCGCCAUCAGUUUGGACUGGAAACCCAGGCCUCAACAGUGGGUGUGGAAGCAGUGCUUACCUUGUGCGGAGAUUCAAAGGCCAUUCUCUUAACCAACAGAACCAACAAAUGUGUUUGGCAAAUUUUCUAGGAUAGGCACUGUUGGUGUCGUUGAAUUCAUGAGUUUUCUAAUAAUGUAUUACAAAUAACUGUAUUUUUAGCUCCCCUGCCCAAAGAGCUGCUAUACUUGUAAAUUUUGUAUAAAUUUGUUCUAUUGGGUGAGGGUCUGAGUUCUUAAAGCUGCAGAUAUAUUUCUUCCUGGAACUGAUAUUUCUCUGUGCAAUUACCACAAACUGUAAUAAAGGAUGGUCUUUAGUACUGGUUUUUAAAAAU